UCCGACAUAGUGUAAUGGCUAUCACAUGGCACUCUCCAUGCCAUGAUCCGGGUUCGAUUCCCGGUGUCGGAG
rfam:Spathaspora passalidarum NRRL Y-27907 unplaced genomic scaffold SPAPAscaffold_3, whole genome shotgun sequence.